UACGGGGGGGGCAAGCGUUGUUCGGAAUUACUGGGCGUAAAGGGCGCGUAGGUGGCCAACUAAGUCAGACGUGAAAUCCCUCAGCUUAACUGGGGAACUGCGUCUGAUACUGGAUGGCUUGGAUCCGGGAGAGGGAUGCGGAAUUCCAGGUGUAGCGGUGAAAUGCGUAGAUAUCUGGAGGAACACCGGUGGCGAAGGCGGCAUCCUGGACCGGUAUUGACGCUGAGGAGCGAAAGCCAGGGGAGCAAACGGG
rnacentral:rRNA from 1 species